AGAGACAGUAGAGAAAUCAUUCCCAGACCAUCUAUAGUGUAACUCCAGGAAGAUAAGAACCAAUAGCCUACAGCUGAAUCAAGUGCAGCAUUGCCAAAGGUGAAGCAGGGAUGUUGUGUGAAAGCGCACUCUGGGGCAUGGAUCACCAUGAAGACUUAGCGAGAGAACUCACUCCUCCUCACGCGUCCCUAUCAGAGCCAACAUCAGACCGGGGUAGUUUCUACCCUCAUCUCUCCGAAUGCGCCAACAUCGAGGUUGAUGGCAGGGAAAAUAUGGAAAACCAUACAAUGAAAGAGGCGGUGAAACAGAGAUCGGCUCCUCAAGAAAGGGGACUGGUCCCAGGAGACCAACUAGUGAGGAAUAUGGCAUCACCCCAUUCUACAGAUCGAUUUGGACCAACAGGGAGAUGGAAGUCAUCAGGAGCCGGACGGACACUGGUACCCUGUCAGACUUCAUCUCCAAGUCUCUCGCAGAGUCGCACUAAAAACGAUAUAGUGUAAAAUUUGCCUCUUAAUUCUCCAUUGACAUAUUUAACAGUGGCUUAUGGAACAAUGUUAUUUAUUUUGUAUGUCAUUUCACUAUCCUUCAUAACCUGUGCUUUUUCGCUGACACAAUCGCCAGUUGUACGGUGUUUCCUCCGACACAAUGGUGGGGCUGGCUUUCGGCGAGCAGUGUGUCAAGUAGCAGUGUGGCUUGUCAGGGUCGUGUUUCAGAGGACGCAUGACUUUCGACCUUCGCCUCUCUGGAGUCGGUACGGGAGUUGUAGCGAUGCGACAAGACUGUAACUACCAAUUGGAUAUCACGAACAUGUGGAGAAAAAGUGGUAAAAAGUACAAACAAAAAUUAUAAUAACCUGUGCUUGAUAUCCUGUUUAACCCUUCCUGUGAAUUAAAUAGCCCUAUAGGCCUAUUGCUUAUUGCAUUUGUUUGAUUGAAGGAUGUUCAUUUAUUGACUAAAUGUGCAGUGUUUAUACAUUGUUCUUUCAACUAUUUAUUAUUGAUGGAGACGAAGCCAGCCUUAACAUUCACCAUCACUGGAACACUGUAACAGGAUGGCAUGGAAUGAAUCCUGUACUCUAUUCUGUGUUGAUGUUAUUAACCAAUAGGGAUAGAAUAGGCCUGCACUUGUUUCUUAUCAUUAUUCCUUUCCAUUCAAUGUAGGUCCAUUCCAGAUAGUGAAGAUAGAUAUUUAGGUCUAUGAAAUAUCUAUCUAGGUCUAUGAAAAUACUGUAGAUGUUAGUUACCAUAACUGCCCUCAGAUCCAGGUUCAUAAGGAAGCAAUUACGAGAGUCAAAUGUAGUUGUACCUUUAUGUUCAGUCAUUUUACUUAGAAACAGAACACCAUAUUUUGCUAACAUUUUCUCUGUUUUAUUUCAUUUGAAAGUAGCUGUUGUCACCAGAAAACAAGUCUCUACUAUUCAAUGAUUACUACCAUUCAUAUGGGCACAACAUACACUGCCUUCAGAAACUAUUCAUAGCCCUUGACCUAUUUCACAUGUUGUUGUAUUUGUAUUUAUUAAGGAUCCCCAUUAGCUGCUGAACUUUAAAGGGCCAGCCCUGCUGCCCUGUUCUGAGCCAACUGUCAUUUUCACCUGACCACACUACUAAACAGUAGUCUAGGUGCGACAAAACUAGAGCCUGUAGGACCUGCCUUGAUGAUAGUGUUGUUAAGAAGGCAUAGCAGUGCAUUAUUAUGGACAGACUUCUCCCCAUUUUAACUACUGUUGUAAACUGUUUUGACCAUGACAGUUUACAAUCCAGGGUUACUCCAAGCAGUUUAGUCACCUCAAUUUCCACAUUAUUCAUUACAAGACGUAGUUGAGGUUUAGGGUUUAGUGAAUGAUUUGUUCCAAAUACAAUGCUUUUAGUUUUAGAAAUAUUUAGGACUAGCUUAUUCCUUGCUACCCAUUUCAAAACUAACUGCAGCUCUUCGUUAAGUGUUGCAGUCAUUUCAGUUGCUGCAGUAGCUGACGUGUAUAGUGUUGAGUCAUCCGCAUACAUAGACACAAUGACCUUACUCAAAGCCAGUGGCAUGUCAUUAGUAAAAAUGGAAAGAAGCAAGGGGCCUAAACAGCUAUACUGGGGAAUUCAUGAUUCUACCUUGAUUGUGCUUGAGAGGCUUCCAUUAAAGAACACCCUCUGUGUUCUGUUAGACAAGUAACUCUUUAUCCACAUUAUAGCAGGGGGUGUAAAGCCAUAACACAUACGCUUUUCCAGCAGCAGACUCAAAAGCUGCACUGAAGUCUAACAAGACAGCCCCCACGAUCAUUUUAUCAUCAAUUUCUCUCAGCCAAUCAUCAGUCAUUUGUGUAAGCACUGUGCUUGUUGAGUGUUCUUCCCUAUAAGUGUGCUGAAAGUCUGUUGUCAAAGUCUGUUGCCUGAAUUCAAAAUUGAUUAAAUAUUUGUUUUAAUCCUCACCCAUCUACACACAAUACCCCAUAAUGACAAAGUGAAAACAUGUUUUUAGAAAUUCUUGAAAAUUAAGUACAGAAAUAUCUAAUUCAUGUAAGUAUUCACAUCCUUGAGUCACCUUUGGCAGUGAUUACAACUGAGUCUUUCUGGGUAAGUGUCUAAUAGCUUUGCACAUCUGGAUUGUACAGUAUUUGCCCAUUUAUUAUUUUUUUAAUUCUUCAAGC
ensembl:lncRNA